ACCCCGAGAAAAAAGGUAGCUAGGCCCCUCGAUGGAACAUAAGAGGGGCGAGCCGACCUGGGGUCUGCUGGCUAAGAAAGUGCCCUGACCGGGGGAGGAGCUAUUGAAACGAAGGUCCUUAGCGAGAGAUCACGGGAGCUUCAGAACGGGGGCUUUCGGAUGACCCCAGGUCGGAUAAGCUUGUGGGGGAGGUAAUGGCUCGGGGGGCAAGGAUCCCUAACUGGACUGACACGAUGUUCUCUCACACUGUGACUGACACCCGGGCCACACUCCCACGGGAGGCACUCCUGGGGAAUGUUGGACAGUGGAGGCAACCCUGAUCCAGCCAUGCCGCAUGUGUCAAUGCCGUCUGCGGAUUGAAGGCCUCCUUGUUUUAAGAGGAAUUCCUUUAGGCAAAUAGCCUGAUCUUUUGACGUUGCCUACUUAAUAAGCACCGGCAAACUCUGUGAGGCAACCUCUGCGUCACAGAGGGUGCAAACGUUAGGGUAAUUGCUGGUCCUAAAAUUUUUCUACGUGGCUGCAAAGAUGGGUGUGUUAUUCUUAAUUCAAACUGCGGGCGCGCAUCCUCCAAUGAUGGUUUUAAAUUUGGGAAAAUAGUAUAGUAAAUUAGGGGGGGUAGAGUUAAAGGUGGUGGAGUAAGGAGUGAACAUCUUUUGAGAAAGGCAGUUCGUGGGAGGGAGCCUCCCCGCUGAGUUGCUAAAACCUUGGGGGACAAACAGGGGGUAGACACCCAGGGUAAUACACCCCGGGUACCACGUCCCCUAACCCAAUGGGAACCCUGGAGGUUUUGGGGGUCGCGCCUACCUACUUAGCUGAACCCCUGGGUAAUACCGCCGGGAGAUACGGCUCAUAUGAAUUGACAGAGUCUAACAAAUCGGGGGAGCCUGUGCCUUACUUCAAGUAUUUAAUUUAACUUACUUGCCUUGCCAUGCCGAGUCUUUCCUCAUAUG
rnacentral:rRNA from 1 species